rnacentral:rRNA from 1 species
AGUGAACGCUGGCGGUAGGCCUAACACAUGCAAGUCGAACGGCAGCACAGUAAGAGCUUGCUCUUACGGGUGGCGAGUGGCGGACGAGUGAGGAAUACAUCGGAAUCUACUUUUUCGUGGGGGAUAACGUAGGGAAACUUACGCUAAUACCGCAUACGACCUACGGGUGAAAGCAGGGGAUCUUCGGACCUUGCGCGAUUGAAUGAGCCGAUGUCGGAUUAGCUAGUUGGCGGGGUAAAGGUCCACCAAGGCGACGAUCCGUAGCUGGUCUGAGAGGAUGAUCAGCCACACUGGAACUGAGACACGGUCCAGACUCCUACGGGAGGCAGCAGUGGGGAAUAUUGGACAAUGGGCGCAAGCCUGAUCCAGCCAUACCGCGUGGGUGAAGAAGGCCUUCGGGUUGUAAAGCCCUUUUGUUGGGAAAGAAAAGCAGCAGGUUAAUACCCCGCUGUUCUGACGGUACCCAAAGAAUAAGCACCGGCUAACUUCGU